CCACGGGGGGCAGCAGUGGGGAAUAUUGGACAAUGGGCGAAAGCCUGAUCCAGCCAUGCCGCGUGUGUGAAGAAGGCCUUCGGGUUGUAAAGCACUUUCAGUGGGGAAGAAAGCCUUGGGGCUAAUACCCUCGAGGAAGGACAUCACCCACAGAAGAAGCACCGGCUAACUCCGUGCCAGCAGCCGCGGUAAUACGGAGGGUGCGAGCGUUAAUCGGAAUUACUGGGCGUAAAGCGCGCGUAGGCGGUCUGAUAAGCCGGUUGUGAAAGCCCCGGGCUCAACCUGGGAACGGCAUCCGGAACUGUCAGGCUAGAGUGCAGGAGAGGAAGGUAGAAUUCCCGGUGUAGCGGUGAAAUGCGUAGAGAUCGGGAGGAAUACCAGUGGCGAAGGCGGCCUUCUGGACUGACACUGACGCUGAGGUGCGAAAGCGUGGGUAGCAAACAGGAUUAGAUACCCCGGUAGUC
rnacentral:rRNA from 1 species